GAGCAAUCUGUGUGACUGCGUACCUUUUGUAUAAUGGGUCAGCGACUUAUAUUCUGUAGCAAGGUUAACCGAAUAGGGGAGCCGAAGGGAAACCGAGUCUUAACUGGGCGUUAAGUUGCAGGGUAUAGACCCGAAACCCGGUGAUCUAGCCAUGGGCAGGUUGAAGGUUGGGUAACACUAACUGGAGGACCGAACCGACUAAUGUUGAAAAAUUAGCGGAUGACUUGUGGCUGGGGGUGAAAGGCCAAUCAAACCGGGAGAUAGCUGGUUCUCCCCGAAAGCUAUUUAGGUAGCGCCUCGUGAAUUCAUCUCCGGGGGUAGAGCACUGUUUCGGCAAGGGGGUCAUCCCGACUUACCAACCCGAUGCAAACUGCGAAUACCGGAGAAUGUUAUCACGGGAGACACACGGCGGGUGCUAACGUCCGUCGUGAAGAGGGAAACAACCCAGACCGCCAGCUAAGGUCCCAAAGUCAUGGUUAAGUGGGAAACGAUGUGGGAAGGCCCAGACAGCCAGGAUGUUGGCUUAGAAGCAGCCAUCAUUUAAAGAAAGCGUAAUAGCUCACUGGUCGAGUCGGCCUGCGCGGAAGAUGUAACGGGGCUAAACCAUGCACCGAAGCUGCGGCAGCGACGCUGAUGCGUUGUUGGGUA
rnacentral:rRNA from 1 species